rnacentral:lncRNA from 1 species
AUAACUUCAGCAAUACAGCGACUGCAACAACACAGCUUCAAUAACCCGACCCGAUAACCUAGCAACCAAACAAAGAAUACACAAUAGCAGCCAGCAAAAAUUGAUAAUCCAUCAACAAUAAUCAGCAACCCGUUCCAACAGUUCAACAACAGCAAAUCAACAACAAUUUCAACAGAAACACAACCCAACAACUCCAGCAAUCCAAACCCGCACCAGAAUCCCGCAAACCCAACCCGACUCGUCCAACUCAGCAACAACUAUAUCCGUUUCAAUUUUUUCAAAUUUUAAAUUUCAAAUUUGUAUCAAAACAGUAUAAUCCAGCUCACCCCUCAGUAAAAUCCCCAAAAUACUCCUAAAUUUCUACUCCCACAUCGUUAAUUAGUGAAGAUUUGAGAUUGUUGGGUUUCUGUAUAAACCCAUUUAUUCCAAUAUUCAAGAGGAGGGUUUUUCUUGAAUGAAGAAGGGGACUAAAAAUUCUCUACCCAGUUAGAAUUCGAACUUCGGUCCCCAACCUGGAGUUGUGAGAAUUUUGGUUCAAGUUUCGUGUUUUUUUGUUGUUCUCGAGUCAAGGAAAGAGGUGGUCGUCAACUCGUCGUUUCAGUUUGCUACACGGAAAAAGGUUAAAAUCUUUCUCUUUCGAUUUUCUUUUGUCCUAAUUAUUUCUGUAUUAGCGUUAUCAUAAUAAGUUACUGAGAUUGUUCGCUGUAGAAGCCUCGAAGGACAUAAAAUUUAUGUGCAAUGAAAAGUUGUUAUAGUUUUGCCUCAGUUAUUCGUUGCUUUUUCUUUUUUCUUAGCGUUUGAAUUUUGAUUAGAUUUUCUGAGUGAAUAGAGUUCUUUAUCAUGUUUGAAUGAAUGGCACAUAAUAUUAUGGUAUGAAUGAGUUUUCUCGGUUGAUAAUUCCUCGAGGACUUGUUUCUUAUGUCAAGACCUUUAAUGUCAAGUAGGAGAAGAUGAAGUCGUUAUGAUUUUCUCUUUAUUUUUUUGUUCGAGUUAAGGUCUGAGAUGCAGUAUUAUUGGUAUAAAUUUUAAGACGCAAAAAUAUAUGUCCCAAAUAAUAGUGUUAUUGGUAUUUCUUGAUUUCUUUUAAGCAACUCAUGUUGAUAAUAUUUUAUAUAGAGAUAAGCACUCCCACUUUGUCCCUAACUAUUGAGUAUUUCUAGAGUGAAUUUGUUGCAAGAGUUUGUUCGAACUUAACUAAAAGAAGCUGGUUUUCCUAUUUUUGAAAUUUAUAUGCAAGUCAUUAUUAAAUUGAAGUCCUAACUGUUUGAAUUUCCCAUUAUCUACAUGAGCGUACUAGGCCCGUAUUCAUCCAAUUACUGUAUGUGUACGAUUUCCCAUUUUUCAGUUUUCGACCUCAAAUUGUUGUUUAAUUUAGGUACUUCUUUGUUUUGUAUUUGACACGAAAAGUUAAUGUUGUGGAGUUUCCUACUGUUAUCUUAAUGACCAAUUGCACUGUUUUUGGUCUUCUCAACUUCAUUGGAAAAUCUGGAAGUGGUAGUAGAGGUCAAGAGAUGCAUAUGGGUUCUUGUUGCAAUUGUGCAUAUUAUAGAAUAUUAAAUGGUUUGCAUUUGUCUUGGAGUGGGGGAAUGAUUCAUAUGUUGUGAUUUUCAUUAUCAUCAAGAAUUAUAUCUUGUCUUUCAAUUUACGAUUCAGUUCUAAUUAAUCUUUGUUUCUUUGUUUGAAUGGAUUACCUUUGGUCCAAAUAUUGGACCUUUGCAUCUUCGUCGGAUCAAACCCAUCUCAUCGAGUCCGAGAUCCCAUGCCAAAGCCUCAAAACGGGACUGAUUGACAUGAAAAGUUCAUGUUGUGAAGUUUCCUACUGUUAUCUUAAUGACCAAUGACACUGUUUUUUGUCUUCUCAGUUUCCAUAGGAAAAUUUGGAAGUCGUAGUAGGGGUCAAUAGAUGUAUAUGGGUUCUUGUUGCAACCUGUGCAUAUUAGAGGAUAAUAAAUGGUUUGCAUUUGUCUUGGAGUGGUGGAAUGAUUCAUAUGUUGUGAUUUUCAUUAUCAUCAAGAAUUAUAUCUUGUCUUUCCAUUUAUGAUUCAGUUCUAAUUAAUCUUUUUUUCUUUGUAUGAAUGGAUUACCUUUGGUCCAAUAUUGGACCUUUUCUUUGCAUCUUCAUCGGAUCAAACCCAUCUCAUCGAGUCCGAGAUACCAUGCCAAAGCCCCAAACGAGACUGAUUUGCAGUCGUAUACACUGAAUAUACAACGGUAUACCAGUGAUAUACAGUGAUGGGAAAAGGAAGCAAGUAUGCAAAUUUGGGAAGUUAAUAUACAGGUUUUAUAGAUGUAUCCGCAGAAAAUGCAAGGAAAGGAGGCUGAUAUACAGUCGAUGUACUGUUGAUAUAUUGUCAGUAUAAAAUCAGAAAAAAUGAAUCCAAAGUCCAUGAAUGGGGCCCAGGGUUGUCCGGAUUUAAAGUGGGCUUGAAAGGGGCCGAAUAUCUUCUUUUCUUCCUUUAUUUUCUUGUAGUUAAUUUAAUUCUUUGGUUGUAAUUCAUUUAACCUAGAUGAAUCCUUGGGGGCAAAUUGUGUUGAAACUACUCAUUUAUGUUAGUCAGUUUAUAUUUUUAAUGUUUAAUUUCUCU